GACGAACGCUGGCGGCGUGCCUAAUACAUGCAAGUCGAACGCAGUUGGGACGGGUGAGUAACACGUGGGUAACCUCCCAUCAGAGGGGAUAACACUUGGAAACAGGUGCUAAACCGAUACUGAUGGAUGGACCCGCGGUGCAUUAGCUAGUUGGGGAGGUAACGGCUCACAAAGGCCACGAUGCAUAGCCGACCUGAGAGGGGGAGCGGCCACCCUGGGACUGAGACACGGCCCAGCCUCCCACGGGGGGCAGCAGUAGGGAAUUUUGGGCAAUGGACGAAAGGCUGACCGAGCAACGCCGCGUGAGUGAAGAAGGUUUGCGGAUCGUAAAACUCUGUUGUUCGAGAAGCGGUAGCUAACCAGGAAGCCACGGCUAACUACGUGCCAGCAGCCGCGGUAAUUC
rnacentral:rRNA from 1 species